AGCGAACGCUGGCGGCAGGCUUAACACAUGCAAGUCGAGCGGGCAUCCUUGUGGUGUCAGCGGCAGACGGGUGAGUAACGCGUGGGAACGUGCCCUUCGGUUCGGAAUAACUCAGGGAAACUUGAGCUAAUACCGGAUACGUGCGAGAGCAGAAAGGUUUAUCUGCCGAAGGAUCGGCCCGCGUCUGAUUAGCUAGUUGGUGAGGUUAUGGCUCACCAAGGCGACGAUCAGUAGCUGGUCUGAGAGGAUGAUCAGCCACACUGGGACUGAGACACGGCCCAGACUCCUACGGGAGGCGGCAGUGGGGAAUAUGGGACAGGGGGGGCAACCCUGACCCGCCCAGGCCGCGUGAGUGAUGGCGGCCUUAGGGUUGUAAAGCUCUUUUUCCCGGGACGAAAAUGACGGUACCGGAGGAAUAAGCCCCGGCAAACUUCGG
rnacentral:rRNA from 1 species